rnacentral:rRNA from 1 species
UACGUAGGGUGCAAGCGUUAAUCGGAAUUACUGGGCGUAAAGCGUGCGCAGGCGGCUUUGCAAGACAGAUGUGAAAUCCCCGGGCUUAACCUGGGAACUGCAUUUGUGACUGCAUGGCUGGAGUGCGGCAGAGGGGGGAUGGAAUUCCGGCGUGUAGCAGUGAAAUGCGUAGAUAUGCGGAGGAACACCGAUGGCGAAGGCAAUCCCCUGGGCCUGCA